rnacentral:ribozyme from 11 species
GUCUUUUCUCUUCUUUUUUCUUCUUCUUCUUUCGACUUUAUUGAUCAGCAAGUUUUUCACACAAGGUCUUCUCCUCAUCUCUGCCGUCUUUAGAGAAAUCGCUUGGCCUGAAAAAAAAAAAGUGAAUGCAU